GAAGACGACGGCUCCGGCUUGCCUCUGCUCGUGAAUGACAUUUUCCAUAAGGCUAUCAUUGAGGUAAACGAGCAAGGGACCGAAGCUGCUGCUGCCACCAGGAAGCGCGGGCUUCUUGGAUGUCCGAUGUUGCCGCCGAAGGUCGACUUCCUCGCCGACCAUCCUUUCGCGUAUUUCAUAGUCGAAGAGGCUUCAGGUGCAACCAUCUUCGCAGGGCAUGUCGUGGACCCUAGCAGUGGCGGAGACAGCCAGGUGCCAGGUGCGGAUUGGACAACCCUAAAAUAG
rnacentral:rRNA from 1 species